rnacentral:rRNA from 1 species
GAUGAACGCUGGCGGCGUGCCUAAUACAUGCAAGUCGAGCGAACCACUUCGGUGGUGAGCGGCGAACGGGUGAGUAACACGUAGGUGAUCUGCCCAUCGGACGGGGACAACGAUUGGAAACGAUCGCUAAUACCGGAUAGGACGAAAGUUUAAAGGUGCUUCUGGCACCGCUGAUGGAUGAGCCUGCGGCGCAUUAGCUAGUUGGUAGGGUAAAGGCCUACCAAGGCGACGAUGCGUAGCCGACCUGAGAGGGUGAACGGCCACACUGGGACUGAGACACGGCCCAGACUCCUACGGGAGGCAGCAGUAGGGAAUCUUCGGCAAUGGGCGAAAGCCUGACCGAGCAACGCCGCGUGAAUGAUGAAGGCCUUCGGGUUGUAAAAUUCUGUUAUAAGGGAAGAACGACUUUAGUAGGAAAUGGCUAGGGUGUGACGGUACCUUAUGAGAAAGCCACGGCUAACUACGUGCCAGCCGCCGCGGUAA